AACUUAAGCAUAUCAAUAAGCGGAGGAAAAGAAACCAACAGGGAUUGCCCUAGUAACGGCGAGUGAAGCGGCAACAGCUCAAAUUUGAAAUCUGGCCCCCGGGUCCGAGUUGUAAUUUGUAGAGGAUGCUUUUGGUGCGGUACCUUCCGAGUUCCCUGGAACGGGACGCCAUAGAGGGUGAGAGCCCCGUCUGGUUGGACGCCAAUCCUUUGUAAAGCUCCUUCAACGAGUCGAGUAGUUUGGGAAUGCUGCUCUAAAUGGGAGGUAUAUGUCUUCUAAAGCUAAAUAUUGGCCAGAGACCGAUAGCGCACAAGUAGAGUGAUCGAAAGAUGAAAAGCACUUUGAAAAGAGAGUUAAAAAGUACGUGAAAUUGUUGAAAGGGAAGCGCUCAUGACCAGACUUGGGCUUGGUUGAUCAUCCAGGGUUCUCCCUGGUGCACUCUUCCAGCCCAGGCCAGCAUCAGUUCGCUGUGGGGGAUAAAGGCUUCGGGAAUGUGGCUCCCUCGGGAGUGUUAUAGCCCGUUGUGUAAUACCCUGUGGUGGACUGAGGUUCGCGCAUUCGCAAGGAUGCUGGCGUAAUGGUCAUCAGCGACCCGUCUUGAAACACGGACCAAGGAGUCGUCUUCGUAUGCGAGUGUUCGGGUGUCAAACCCCUACGCGUAAUGAAAGUGAACGCAGGUGAGAGCUUCGGCGCAUCAUCGACCGAUCCUGAUGUUCUCGGAUGGAUUUGAGUAAGAGCAUACGGGGCCGGACCCGAAAGAAGGUGAACUAUGCCUGUAUAGGGUGAAGCCAGAGGAAACUCUGGUGGAGGCUCGCAGCGGUUCUGACGUGCAAAUCGAUCGUC
rnacentral:rRNA from 1 species